GAUGAGAGAGCGAGAUCCUGUCUCAAAAAAAAAGGUAAUCAGCAAACAGAUUUUCUUUGUGCGUAACUGUGCUCUCUUUGUGCCAACAGCACUUUCUUUGGGAGGCUGGGGGAGGCUGAAAGGCCAUCUGAUGCUUCUCCAUGUCUGCAGAGCGCAGUAGAGCCUGUAUGGCCACAGAGUGACUGUCUUGCCCUUAACCAAAUUAAAUGCUAUGUCAUCUUCCAGAACAUCUAUCUAGCCAGGACCGACAGCCAGACUGCCAGUGUCUACUGCAGAGACCGCAGGACAGCCAGAGUGCCAGUGUCCACUGCAGAGACCGCAGGAUAGCCAGACUGCCAGUGUCUACUGCAGAGGCCGCACGACAGCCAGAGUGCCAGUGUCUACUGCAGAGGCCGCACGACAGCCAGACUGCCAGUGUCUACUGCAGAGGCCACACGACAGCCAGACUGCCAGUGUCUACUGCAGAGGCCACAUGUCUACAAGGCGGAGAGCACUGAAGCACGAAGUGGAACUCUUUUGCUAUGAACGACCUCACCAAUUAUGAACCUCAUAGUCUGUGUGUGUGCCAUGACAAAGAACAGAAGCAAGAGAGAUGAAGCCCGACGGCCUAGAUUCCACAAAUCAACACACGCAGCCAUGAAAACCCCAGCCCUGAAGGUGAUUUUGGAUCUUUCUAGUCAUAGGUAAAUCGACUCAUUUUUAUUAAAAUAACAAGUUGCCCCAGAAAAACAAUUGCUCUUACUGAGGAAAAAAUCGUAGCCACCUGGCGGGUCAGGUGCACAGGUGACUGUGUAGUGUAAGUGAUGGACUCAGCCUUCAUUUCACAGUGCUGCGGCGACGAUUUUCUUCUUUUCCCUCUGCCAGUGACUUUUAGCACCUCUGUUUUGUACCCCACAUUAUCUUUUCAAGGGCAUACAGCUGAGGCCAGGCCUACGAAGAAGGGCCUGCCACAUGCCUCUCCACCUCCACAGCGGGAAUCCCCACCUGUGGAUCCGGAAGCUCCUGGUUGGCCUGCUGACCCCAUCCGGCCCCUGCAGGGCCCAGGGACUGCCACAUAGCGCCACCUAGUGACAUCCCGGGAGGCGACCCAGCCCUCCAGAUCUGGCUGAAGAAUGUAAUUGCUCAGGCAGCAGACCACUGGCCUGACCCCGGAGAGCCCCUGGCCACACACUGCUUGCUCCUCGAAAUGGGAACUGCAGGCAGCGAAGUCAGCAGGGAUCCAGAGACGCAGACGUUCUUGGCGUGGAGCAAAGCGCUGGAGAAAAGCACUCAGUGGAUGGGGUUUCUUUCUUCUUUUCUUUUUUUUUUCCGAAUCACGUUGAUUGCAGUGCAGCCAGGCUGAGAAGGGUAUGCCUGUGCUCCCAUGCAGCUCACACAGACGGCCCUGGUCGCCACCAGAACGCAUGCAGCUUCCCGCCCCGCAUCUGACUUCCUGAAGCUCAGGCAGGCCUGGACAAUACCACAGGAGCUGCCACUAAAGCUCCGAAGCCACGUUUUCCAGAUUGUCUUGAUUUCCCCAGAUAUUUUGGGUCCAGGCCUCACAGCCGUUCAACCACAGGUUUUAGAAUUGAGCCUGGCAUUUCAUAUCCUGUUCCAGUUUUCAAAAUAAGUCUCUCCUCUGGAGAAAAAUAUCAGCCUCCUUUAGAAGCUUGGGCCUGAAUUUGCUGCAUUUCUCUCAAGUCAGGCAGGGGUCUGGACCAUGUUCUAUGAUCUUUCACCAAGCUCUGGGGAAAUCUUUCCCCAUCCUACCUUCAUGAGCAUGGUGGCAUAAGAUGGACACUGUCCAGGAGAGGCUGCAGGAAUCAGCCCCUCAGGGCUGUGUGUCUCGGCCUUGGACUGUAGCUCUGGGUCAACUGAUGCGAGGAGAAUUCGUGCUUUCAACAUCUCUUCCCUGUUGAAAUCUCUUCUGGAGCUAUUAAUAAUUAGCCAGGGUUGAAAGCCUGACUUCACUUUCUUCGCUGUUUACUUGGUGACUGGUUUACAUGGUGACUGGUUUACACACCAGCCAUGUGAACAACCUGUCAAUAAGUAGAGUCAGGAAUCAACUGCCUCAAUAUUUAAUAAUUCGUACCACCCACUAACAUCUACUGAGACUCUACUGUGUACAAGUUCAUGAUGGGAAACAAAGGUCAAGAUGCCAAAGACCUGUCCUCAGGGAGCUUCCACUCUAGGAGGGCAGAGUCCAAAACAAACAAAUGUAGCAUCAGGUCUUACGGAAUUCCAAGCUGGAGAGCAUUAGCAACUCUUGAGUGUUUCCUGGUAGAGAUGGUGUUUGAUUUGGCCUUUGAAGGACAGGGAGGGAUUGGCACAGAGAGGGCAUUCCAGGGAUUCUACUGAUUAUUUAUUAGGCUGAUUGAAGUUACUUGGGCGAGCUCAGUUACCUCUCCCUGACCACCAAAUUCCCAACACUUAAGUGUUGCAAUGGAAGAAUUGUUUUCACAACCAGAAAAAUUUUAGUUCUGGUAUAUGCAAAUCACCCAUGUUGGUGAUAAGAAAGAAAGGGAUUGGGGUAAGGUAGAAGAAAAGGAGGUAAAUUGGGCUUGGAGCAACUGUAGAGGUUUUUGCAGUAUGACAUGAGCAAAAAAAUUUGAAAGGACAAUGGUAGAACUUCUGUUUCUGCAAGUGUGAAGGAGCCGAGACGUAGCUCUAGACCCCACGGAAGCCAGAAGGGUGAGUCUGUAACUGGGAAACACGAGGUCAGAAACACAUUGAACAUUCUGAUGAAAUGUCUGGAACAUCUUAGAAGAACUGGAUGGGACUGUGUGCUUCAUGGCUAGACUGGAAUUCAAGUCCUGGGUUUGUUGCUCAGAGAUUUGUAACCAUAGGCAUGGGACCUAAAAUGAUGAGCCGCCAUUAACUCAGUAAAAUUGGGAUCGCAGUAUCCACAAUGCAGAGAGAGUGAACUGAGGAGGUACCUAAUUCCAGAUAGCCACUACUGUUAUGGUUGUUAUUGACCAAAAUAAAAAAAAGAAAAUCUCCGUAUAUUUAUUAUGUGCAAAAUAUAAAAUAACUUGAUGUGUAUGUCAUUGAAACUUUUGGGAGGGCCAUAGGGAGCUCUUUCCAAAGUCUACAAUGAUCCAGGCAUGAAAAAUUAAGAUUGUUCUUCACAGCAACCAGUAUUACUAAUUAAAGGUGGAGGAAAUCACAUUGACAGUCUGUUUAGCGGGUCAGUGUAAGAAUUUUCACGGAACUGCUCAUGACCUGUUUGACUUUGUUCUUUGACUCUGUUCUUCCCAUGAGCUGUGAAUUACAUUACCCUGAAGAUAAUGGAUCAUGA